rnacentral:rRNA from 1 species
UACAGAGGUCCCGAGCGUUGUUCGGAUUCAUUGGGCGUAAAGGGUGCGUAGGCGGCGCCCGUAAGUCAGGUGUGAAAGCCUGGGGCUCAACCCCGGAAGUGCCAUUUGAAACUGCGGUGCUAGAGUACUGGAGAGGAGACUGGAAUUCACGGUGUAGCAGUGAAAUGCGUAGAUAUCGUGAGGAAGGCCAGUGGCGAAAGCGGGUCUCUGGACAGGUACUGACGCUGAGGCACGAAGGCUAGGGGAGCAAACGGG